UCUGCAGGGGACAGGACCGCAGGUUAGCAAGGGGCUGGCUCCUGCUGGACACACCGUGUGACAAGGGCCAGAAAUCACAGGCUUUGCAAACGGGACAAGGAAACCACGGCACAAAGCUGGUCUCCAGUGUUUGGUCCCGGGUUACUCAGCUGCCACUUCUUGAGGAGUAUGUAUGUGGUUUUUUUUAACUUGUAAAAGCACUCUCUCUAGUUCCCACUUCAUAUUUCAUAUACCUUCUAGUCAAGCCUUUUGCUUCCUAAAUUCCCCAACAAUUAUUAUUUAUUUGAGGGACUGGAUAUAAAGUGCACACUUUACAUUGAAAGAGAUAAUAGGCCUUCAUUGUGUUUAUGGAGUCAAUUUUUAAAAAGGAGAAAGACAUAUACCACGCUACAUUUUAAAUUUUAAACUGAUUUUUUCCUUAAAAGACAAAAAUUUGUAAAAGAAUAUUAUAUUUCAUAAAUUGUUUUUUAGCUUUUCUCCAUGAGAAAAAAAUCAUUCAUUUUUCAAAGUAUUUAUAACACUGAUGAAAACCAUUAGAUCUGUUUCCUUGAUAAAAAUGCCAAUUCAUAUUCUUGAGUCUAGACUGUCAGAAACAGGAAAGCGGCUAUCUUAGGCCAGGGUGUCCGAGUGGGAAACUGAUUUUACCGUGAGAGAUUCAUGUUCUCAUUAACGCGCCCCUGUGUGGCUUACUUGCUUACAUAUGGUCUUCUUCAUGUUCCUGCUUACUUAGUCACCCCAGAGAGCUUUUUCUUGUAAACUGUAUUGCUAAGACAGUCUCUAAAUGAACAGGAAGAGGCGGCUGGGGAUAUAGCUCAGUGGCACAAAGCCUGCCUGGCAAGCAGGAGGAGGAAAGAAAAAGGAACAGGAGAAACAAAGACCCUCAACUGUGGCAACCAGGCAGCCCAGAGGUGGGGUUAGGCUCUUGCACGUGGCACUGUGUGUGUACUGGGUCUGGAUUUCAGGGCUACUCCAGGGAUGUCCAAAAGAACAAAGCGUGGGCCCUGUUAAUCUAACCCCUUACGGGUGGCUUGCACCCGGUCACUGUUCAACUUUUCAGCAAUUUGCAUUCACCCUGGUAACCUGGGGAAGCCGAAAUUCUGCAAACGGAACAGGCUGAUUACAAGGAGCCAGAGCAGAUUCUGUGAUCUCCAGGAGGAGCUGUUGGACAAGCAUCCAUUUAGCAGCUGUGGAUUUGCAGACUUUCAGGCUUUUCUAAGCCUGCGCUCGCGAGGCCCCGGGCUGCUGCUCACCUGGUCCGAGCUGACGGUCAGGGGCUCCUUCAGCAGCAGCCACACGAUGCACUCCUCGCACGGGGGCGUGGUGAAGGAGCCGCGGUAGGUCCAGUAGUCCCGGCAGGCAGGAAACAGGCAGGACGGGUCGAAGUGU